GAUGAACGCUGGCGGCGUGCCUAAUACAUGCAAGUCGAGCGAAUGGAUUAAGAGCUUGCUCUUAUGAAGUUAGCGGCGGACGGGUGAGUAACACGUGGGUAACCUGCCCAUAAGACUGGGAUAACUCCGGGAAACCGGGGCUAAUACCGGAUAACAUUUUGAACCGCAUGGUUCGAAAUUGAAAGGCGGCUUCGGGUGUCACUUAUGGAUGGACCCGCGUCGCAUUAGCUAGUUGGUGAGGUAACGGCGCACCAAGGCAACGAUGCGUAGCCUACCUGAGAGGGUGAUCGGCCACCCUGGGACUGAGACACGGCCCAGACUCCUACGGGAGGCAGCAGUAGGGAAUCUUCCGCAAUGGACGAAAGUCUGACGGAGCAACGCCGCGUGAGUGAUGAAGGCUUUCGGGUCGUAAAACUCUGUUGUUAGGGAAGAACAAGUGCUAGUUGAAUAAGCUGGCACCUUGACGGUACCUAACCAGAAAGCCACGGCUAACUACGUGCCAGCCGCCGCCGUAA
rnacentral:rRNA from 1 species